CUGGGCUUGAACUGCAGUGGACCGGUGCAGAGAUGUGCCUUUUCGCAAGAACUGCAGCAGAGGUGCUGCAUGGCUGUCGUCAGCUCGUGUCGUGAGAUGUUGGGUUAAGUCCCGCAACGAGCGCAACCCUUACCCGUAGUUGCCAGCGCGUCAUGGCGGGAACUCUACGGGGACUGCCCGGGUUAACCGGGAGGAAGGUGGGGAUGAUGUCAAGUCCUCAUGGCCCUUAUGUCCAGGGCUACACACGUGCUACAAUGGGCGAUACAAACCGUUGCAAAGUCGCGAGAUGGAGCUAAUCGGAGAAAGUCGUCCUCAGUUCGGAUUGUAGUCUGCAACUCGACUACAUGAAGGUGGAAUCGCUAGUAAUCGUGUAUCAGAAUGAUACGGUGAAUA
rnacentral:rRNA from 1 species